rnacentral:ncRNA from 1 species
GCGUUGAAGCGGGAGGUUGCAGCCUUCGGGCUGGUUUUUCCGUGGAGUAUGUCCGAUUUUAAACCGGGCG